AUCGCCGUGGGAGAGGGAACGCCAUAUGGCUGUCUGGUGGUGCUCUCUGCUCGGCGUCAACUGAAUUUCCAAGGACGGACUUGCACAGACGAGAGGUUGAAAUUCAGGAAAUCCUCAGCAACAACGUUGGAGUUGUGUCCAGUGAUGUGCUGGAACCAGUUCACACCAACUCAGGAGGGCCCACGGCACACGUUCCUUUCCAGUUCUGAGCUCUGCGAAUGUAAGCUGUGGUACCACAUUACCUGGCAGUGUGCUGUGACUGUCCCCGGUCUUCCAGGGCAGCCUCCCCGAGUCGCAGUCUCAUCCCCCACCUUUUUCC